CCUACGGGAGGCAGCAGUGGGGAAUAUUGGACAAUGGGGGCAACCCUGAUCCAGCCAUGCCGCGUGUGUGAAGAAGGCCCUCGGGUUGUAAAGCACUUUCAGUGAGGAAGAACGCCUGGUGGUUAAUACCCAUCAGGAAAGACAUCACUCACAGAAGAAGCACCGGCUAACUCCGUGCCAGUAGCCGCGGUAAUACGGAGGGUGCGAGCGUUAAUCGGAAUUACUGGGCGUAAAGCGCGCGUAGGUGGCUUGAUAAGCCGGUUGUGAAAGCCCCGGGCUCAACCUGGGAACGGCAUCCGGAACUGUCAAGCUAGAGUGCAGGAGAGGAAGGUAGAAUUCCCGGUGUAGCGGUGAAAUGCGUAGAGAUCGGGAGGAAUACCAGUGGCGAAGGCGGCCUUCUGGACUGACACUGACACUGAGGUGCGAAAGCGUGGGUAGCAAACAGGAUUAGAUACCCUUGUAGUC
rnacentral:rRNA from 1 species